CCUACGGGAGGCAGCAGUGGGGAAUAUUGCACAAUGGGGGAAACCCUGAUGCAGCAACGCCGCGUGAGGGAGGAAGUCUUUCGGUAUGGAAAGCUCUAUCAGCAGGGAAUAGAAAAGAAGGUCCCUGACAUAGAAGCCCCGGCUAACUACGUGCCAGCAGCCUAGGUAAUACGUAGGAGGCAAGCGUUAUCCGGAUUUACUGGGUGUAAAGGGAGCGUAGACGGAUAGGAAAGUCAGAAGUGAGAGCUCAAGGCUCAACCAUGGGACUGCUUUUGAAACUGGCAAACUAGAGUACGGGUGAGGUAGGCGGAAUUCCUAGUGUAGCGGUGAAAUGCGUAGAUAUUAGGAGGAACACCAGUGGCGAAGGCGUCUUACUGGACCGAAACUGACGUUGAGGCUCGAAAGCGUGGGGAGCAAACAGGAUUAGAUACCCUUGUAGUC
rnacentral:rRNA from 1 species